rnacentral:rRNA from 1 species
CUGGGAAACUGGGUCUAAUACCGGAUAGGAGCCAUUUUUAGUGUGAUGGUUGGAAAGUUUUUUCGGUGUAGGAUGAGCUCGCGGCCUAUCAGCUUGUUGGUGGGGUAAUGGCCUACCAAGGCGGCGACGGGUAGCCGGCCUGAGAGGGUGGACGGCCACAUUGGGACUGAGAUACGGCCCAG